GGGAACUGAAGGUCCACUUGGGAAGAACAGACACCGUCUUGAGACAGGGUCUCUCAUAGCAAUGGCUGUCCUGAGACGGAGAGUGAGUACUUUGUAUACCAGGCUGACUUCAAACUCACAGAGAGGGAAGAGCUACGCCAGAGAGACCAC